rnacentral:tRNA from 4 species
CGGAGUAUAGCGCAGUUGGUAGCGCGCCUGCUUUGGGAGCAGGAUGUCGGGAGUUCGAGUCUCUCUACUCCGACCA